GACGACCAGCCACACUGGAACUGAGACACGGUCCAGACUCCUACGGGAGGCAGCAGUGGGGAAUUUUGGACAAUGGGCGCAAGCCUGAUCCAGCAAUGCCGCGUGCAGGAUGAAGGCCUUCGGGUUGUAAACUGCUUUUGUACGGAACGAAACGGCGAGCUCUAAUAAAGCUUGCUAAUGACGGUACCGUAAGAAUAAGCACCGGCUAACUACGUGCCAGCAGCCGCGGUAAUACGUAGGGUGCGAGCGUUAAUCGGAAUUACUGGGCGUAAAGCGUGCGCAGGCGGUUAUAUAAGACAGAUGUGAAAUCCCCGGGCUCAACCUGGGACCUGCAUUUGUGACUGUAUAGCUAGAGUACGGUAGAGGGGGAUGGAAUUCCGCGUGUAGCAGUGAAAUGCGUAGAUAUGCGGAGGAACACCGAUGGCGAAGGCAAUCCCCUGGACCUGUACUGACGCUCAUGCACGAAAGCGUGGGGAGCAAACAGGAUUAGAUACCCUGGUAGUCCACGCCCUAAACGAUGUCAACUGGUUGUUGGGUCUUCACUGACUCAGUAACGAAGCUAACGCGUGAAGUGACCGC
rnacentral:rRNA from 1 species